UACGUAGGGGGCAAGCGUUGUCCGGAAUCAUUGGGCGUAAAGAGCGUGUAGGCGGCCCGAUAAGUCCGCUGUGAAAGUCCAGGGCUCAACCCUGGGAUGCCGGUGGAUACUGUCGGGCUAGAGUCCGGAAGAGGCAAGUGGAAUUCCUGGUGUAGCGGUGAAAUGCGCAGAUAUCGGGAGGAACACCAAUGGCGAAGGCAGCUCGCUGGGACGGUACUGACGCUGAGACGCGAAAGCGUGGGGAGCAAACAGG
rnacentral:rRNA from 1 species